rnacentral:rRNA from 1 species
UACGAAGGGUGCAAGCGUUACUCGGAAUUACUGGGCGUAAAGCGUGCGUAGGUGGUUUGUUAAGUCUGUUGUGAAAGCCCCGGGCUCAACCUGGGAAUUGCGUUGGAGACUGCAAGGCUAGAAUCUGGCAGAGGGGGGUAGAAUUCCACGUGUAGCAGUGAAAUGCGUAGAGAUGUGGAGGAACACCGAUGGCGAAGGCAGCCCCCUGGGUUAAGAUUGACGCUCAUGCACGAAAGCGUGGGGAGCAAACAGG